AACACAGACAUCAUCGACCGCAGGAUCCUCUACCACCAGAAACCCCUUCAGAAUUAGAUCCCAAGAAGAAAAAGAAAAAGAGGGAUGAUGACCCUGAUCGCAA